GUCAGCACAGCCUGGAGCCCGACUACUGCCUGGUGGUAGAAAUUACAGCCCAGGAGGCUCCAUAGUGAAGGGUUGUCAGAGGAGGACACGCCUGCCCCCAGGAUUUAUGUGCUUUUUUUAUACGGGGGACAUACCUGCAAAAGGAGCACUCUCCACAUGGCGAUGAUCCUCGGUAUCUUUCAACCGUUUUCCCGGGAUUUGCCCCCUUCUCCAUUAGAUGGCUAUGCACCAGCUGAUCUUUGAGGUUGGUGCCCCUUCUAUAUGUUGCUGAUGGAUUCGGGGUUCCUACAAUAUAGGAUCCGCUCAGUAGAUAUCUUCUAUAUAAGAGCCUUGCCCUGAUUGACCCGACAAGAAUGGACAGGGACAAGAUGGCGGAGAGUAUAAUAAAUAUCACCCUAGAGAUCCUCUUCCGUCUUAUUGGAGAGGACUACACAGUAGUGAAGAAGACCUCUAGUGAGAGCUGUCAGGACCCUGUGUCU